GAUGAACGCUGGCGGCGUGCCUAAUACAUGCAAGUCGAGCGGACAGACGAGGAGCUUUCUCCUCUGACGGUAUCGGCGGACAGGGGGGUAACACGUGGAGAACCUCCCUAUAAAACUGGGUGAAAAUCCGGAAAACCGAGCUAAUACCGGGGAAUAUAUUGGAUCGGAUGGUUGAAUAGUGAAAGACGGUUUUUGUGUCACUGUUAGAUGGAUUCGCGCCGCAUUAGCUAGUUGGUAAGGUAAUGGCUUACCAAGGCAACGACGCGUAGCCGACCUGAGAGGGUGAUCGGCCACACUGGAACUGGGACACGGUCCAGACUCCUACGGGAGGCAGCAGUAGGGAAUCUUCCGCAAUGGGCGAAAGCCUGACGGAGCAACGCCGCGUGAGUGAUGAAGGUCUUCGGAUCGUAAAACUCUGUUAUUAGGGAAGAACAAAUGUGUAAGUAACUAUGCACGUCUUGACGGUACCUAAUCAGAAAGCCACGGCUAACUACGUG
rnacentral:rRNA from 1 species